rnacentral:tRNA from 1 species
AUUUAAAUAAUUUAAUAAAAAUAUUGAUUUGUGGGGUCAAAAAUAUGAUGAUUAAUUUCAUUUUAAAUU